rnacentral:rRNA from 1 species
ACGAACGCUGGCGGCGUGCUUAACCCAUGCAAGUCGAACGGAAAGGCCCUGCUUUUGUGGGGUGCUCGAGUGGCGAACGGGUGAGUAACACGUGAGUAACCUGCCCUUGACUUUGGGAUAACUUCAGGAAACUGGGGCUAAUACCGGAUAGGAGCUCCUGCUGCAUGGUGGGGGUUGGAAAGUUUCGGCGGUUGGGGAUGGACUCGCGGCUUAUCAGCUUGUUGGUGGGGUAGUGGCUUACCAAGGCUUUGACGGGUAGCCGGCCUGAGAGGGUGACCGGCCACAUUGGGACUGAGAUACGGCCCAGACUCCUACGGGAGGCAGCAGUGGGGAAUAUUGCACAAUGGGCGGAAGCCUGAUGCAGCAACGCCGCGUGCGGGAUGACGGCCUUCGGGUGGUAAACCGCUUUCGCCUGUGACGAAGCGUGAGGGACGGUAAUGGGUAAAGAAGCACCGGCUAACUACGU